UACGUAGGGUGCGAGCGUUGUCCGGAAUUAUUGGGCGUAAAGGGCUCGUAGGCGGUUUGUCGCGUCGGGAGUGAAAACACCGGGCUUAACUCGGUGCUUGCUUUCGAUACGGGCAGACUAGAGGUAUGCAGGGGAGAACGGAAUUCCUGGUGUAGCGGUGAAAUGCGCAGAUAUCAGGAGGAACACCGGUGGCGAAGGCGGCCUUCUGGGCCUGUUCUGACGCUGAGGAGCGAAAGCGUGGGGAGCAAACAGG
rnacentral:rRNA from 1 species